rnacentral:rRNA from 1 species
AUUGAACGCUGGCGGUAUGCUUAACACAUGCAAGUCGAACGAUGAGAAAGAGCUUGCUCUUUCGAUUAGUGGCGGACGGGUGCGUAACGCGUAGGAAUCUACCUAUUAGUGGGGGACAACUUAGGGAAACUUAAGCUAAUACCGCAUACGCCCUACGGGGGAAAGAAGGGGAUCGCAAGACCUUUUGCUAAUAGAUGAGCCUGCGUAGGAUUAGCUAGUUGGUGGGGUAAAAGCUCACCAAGGCGACGAUCCUUAACUGGUUUGAGAGAAUGAUCAGUCACACUGGAACUGGGACACGGUCCAGACUCCUGCGGGAGGCAGCAGUGGGGAAUAUUGGACAAUGGGCGAAAGCCUGAUCCAGCAAUACCGCGUGUGUGAAGAAGGCCUUAGGGUUGUAAAGCACUUUCAAUUGGAAGGAAAACCUCGAAGCUAAUACCUUCGAGUUUGACAUUACCUUUAGAAGAAGCACCGGCUAACUCCGUGCCAGCAGCCGCCGUAA